rnacentral:rRNA from 1 species
GGCUCAACCGUGGAGGGUCAUUGGAAACUGGGGAACUUGAGUGCAGAAGAGGAAAGUGGAAUUCCAAGUGUAGCGGUGAAAUGCAUAGAGAUUUGGAGGAACACCAGUGGCGAAGGCGACUUUCUGGUCUGUAACUGACACUGAGGCGCGAAAGCGUGGGGAGCGAACAGGAUUAGAUACCCUGGUAGUCCACGCCGUAAACGAUGAGUGCUAAGUGUUAGAGGGUUUCCGCCCUUUAGUGCUGCAGCAAACGCAUUAAGCACUCCGCCUGGGGAGUACGACCGCAAGGUUGAAACUCAAAGGAAUUGACGGGGGCCCGCACAAGCGGUGGAGCAUGUGGUUUAAUUCGAAGCAACGCGAAGAACCUUACCAGGUCUUGACAUCCUCUGACAAUCCUAGAGAUAGGACGUUCCCCUUCGGGGGACAGAGUGACAGGUGGUGCAUGGUUGUCGUCAGCUCGUGUCGUGAGAUGUUGGGUUAAGUCCCGCAACGAGCGCAACCCUUGAUCUUAGUUGCCAGCAUUCAGUUGGGCACUCUAAGGUGACUGCCGGUGACAAACCGGAGGAAGGUGGGGAUGACGUCAAAUCAUCAUGCCCCUUAUGACCUGGGCUACACACGUGCUACAAUGGAUGGUACAAAGGGCUGCAAGACCGCGAGGUUUAGCCAAUCCCAUAAAACCAUUCUCAGUUCGGAUUGCAGGCUGCAACUCGCCUGCAUGAAGCCGGAAUCGCUAGUAAUCGCGGAUCAGCAUGCCGCGGUGAAUACGUUCC